GCUUACCAAAGAAUAUCAAACUCCGAAUGCCAUCAAGAUGAUUCAUGGGAGUCAGACCAUACGAGAUAAGUUGGAUGGUCAAAAGGGAAAGAGCCCAGACCUACAGCUAAGGUCCCAAAGUACGUGUUAAGUGGAAAAGGAUGUGGGGAUUCUAAGACAACUAGGACGUUGGCUUAGAAGCAGCCAUUCAUUGAAAGAGUGCGUAAUAGCUCACUAGUCGAGAGUCCCUGCGCCGAAAAUGUCCGGGGCUGAAACACGACACCGAAGCUUAGGAAUGUGUAAACAUUGGUAGAGGAGCAUUGCUGGCGGGAUGAAGCCAUACCGUAAGGAGUGGUGGACUGCUAGGAAGAGAGAAUGCCGGAAUGAGUAGCGAGAUGAAGGUGAGAAUCCUUCAGGCCGAAUAUCUAAGGUUUCCAGAGUAAAGCUGAUCUGCUCUGGGUAAGUCGGGGCCUAAGGCGAGGACGAGAGUCGUAGCCGAUGGACAACAGGUGGAGAUUCCUGUACUGCGGUAUGACAGAACUGUGGGGACACGUAAGGAAAGCGGAAGCCGGGAAUGGAAAGCCCGGUGCAAGCGGGGUACCAGCCACUUUGGCAAAUCCGGGUGGCAAUGGGAAGCCGUGAUGCGGAGCGAAAUAAAGUAGCGAAGUCCGUGAGCCAUGCGUCAAGAAAAGCCGCUAUUGUUUAUACCGUACCCGUACCGUAAACCGACACAGGUGGAUGAGGAGAGAAUCCUAAGGCCGACGGGAGAAGCAUUGUUAAGGAACUCGGCAAAAUGACCCCGUAACUUCGGGAGAAGGGGUGCCUGCGAGAGCAGGCCGCAGAGAAUAGGCUCAAGCAACUGUUUAGCAAAAACACAGGUCUAUGCGAAACCGAAAGGUGAGGUAUAUGGGCUGACGCCUGCCCGGUGCUGGAAGGUUAAGAGGAGAGGUUAGCGCAAGCGAAGCUUUGAAUUUAAGCCCCAGUAAACGGCGGCCGUAACUAUAACGGUCCUAAGGUAGCGAAAUUCCUUGUCGGGUAAGUUCCGACCCGCACGAAAGGCGUAAUGAUUUGAGCGCUGUCUCGACAAUGCAUCCGGUGAAAUUGAAGUACCAGUGAAGAUGCUGGUUACCUGCGCCAGGACGGAAAGACCCCAUGGAGCUUUACUCCAGUCUGGUACUGGGACUCGGUAUUGCAUGUACAGGAUAGGUGGGAGGCUAGGAAAUGGUAACGCCAGUUGCCAUGGAGCCGCUGUUGGGAUACCACCCUUGCAGUAUUGGGUUUCUAACCAGCCGCCGUGACCCGGCGGUGGGACAAUGCCAGACGGGGAGUUUGACUGGGGCGGUCGCCUCCGAAAGGGUAUCGGAGGCGCCCAAAGGUUCCCUCAGAAUGGACGGAAACCAUUCGAAGAGUGCAAAGGCAGAAGGGAGCUUGACUGCGACACCGACGGGUGGAGCAGGUACGAAAGUAGGACUUAGUGAUCCGGUGGUAUAAAGUGGGAUUGCCAUCGCUCAACGGAUAAAAGCUACCCUGGGGAUAACAGGCUUAUCACUCCCAAGAGUUCACAUCGACGGAGUGGUUUGGCACCUCGAUGUCGGCUCAUCGCAUCCUGGGGCUGUAGUAGGUCCCAAGGGUUGGGCUGUUCGCCCAUUAAAGCGGUACGCGAGCUGGGUUCAGAACGUCGUGAGACAGUUCGGUCCCUAU
rnacentral:rRNA from 1 species